GUGUCAGCAGCCGCGGUAAUACGGAGGAUCCAAGCGUUAUCCGGAAUCAUUGGGUUUAAAGGGUCCGUAGGCGGUUUUGUAAGUCAGUGGUGAAAGCCCAUCGCUCAACGGUGGAACGGCCAUUGAUACUGCAAGACUUGAAUUAUUAGGAAGUAACUAGAAUAUGUAGUGUAGCGGUGAAAUGCUUAGAUAUUACAUGGAAUACCAAUUGCGAAGGCAGGUUACUACUAAUAUAUUGACGCUGAUGGACGAAAGCGUGGGGAGCGAACAGGAUUAGAUACCCCGGUAGUCC
rnacentral:rRNA from 1 species